AUUGAACGCUGGCGGCAGGCCUAACACAUGCAAGUCGAACGGUAACAGGAAGAAGCUUGCUUCUUUGCUGACGAGUGGCGGACGGGUGAGUAAUGUCUGGGAAACUGCCUGAUGGAGGGGGAUAACUACUGGAAACGGUAGCUAAUACCGCAUAACGUCGCAAGACCAAAGAGGGGGACCUUCGGGCCUCUUGCCAUCGGAUGUGCCCAGAUGGGAUUAGCUAGUAGGUGGGGUAACGGCUCACCUAGGCGACGAUCCCUAGCUGGUCUGAGAGGAUGACCAGCCACACUGGAAAUGAGACACGGUCCAGACUCCUACGGGAGGCAGCAGUGGGGAAUAUUGCACAAUGGGCGCAAGCCUGAUGCAGCCAUGCCGCGUGUAUGAAGAAGGCCUUCGGGUUGUAAAGUACUUUCAGCGGGGAGGAAGGGAGUAAAGUUAAUACCUUUGCUCAUUGACGUUACCCGCAGAAGAAGCACCGGCUAACUCCGUG
rnacentral:rRNA from 1 species